AGUGAACGCUGGCGGUAGGCCUAACACAUGCAAGUCGAACGGCAGCACAGGAGAGCUUGCUCUCUGGGUGGCGAGUGGCGGACGGGUGAGGAAUACAUCGGAAUCUACUCUGUCGUGGGGGAUAACGUAGGGAAACUUACGCUAAUACCGCAUACGACCUACGGGUGAAAGCAGGGGACCUUCGGGCCUUGCGCGAUUGAAUGGGCCGAUGUCGGAUUAACUAGUUGGCGGGGUAAAGGCCCACCAAGGCGACGAUCCGUAGCUGGUCUGAGAGGAUGAUCAGCCACACUGGAACUGAGACACGGUCCAGACUCCUACGGGAGGCAGCAGUGGGGAAUAUUGGACAAUGGGCGCAAGCCUGAUCCAGCCAUACCGCGUGGGUGAAGAAGGCCUUCGGGUUGUAAAGCCCUUUUGUUGGGAAAGAAAUCCAGCUGGCUAAUACCCGGUUGGGAUGACGGUACUCAAAGAAUAAGCACCGGCUAACUUCGUGCCAGCCGCCGCAGUAA
rnacentral:rRNA from 1 species